rnacentral:lncRNA from 1 species
GGUGCUAUUAGGAAGCCCUCGGAAUAAGCUUUCCAAUGAUAUACUAUAUAUAUUUUUUGGAGCUACAGAGUGAGGAAUAUUGUCUCUAAAAUUUUAUUUUAAAUUUUAUCUGAUGAAGAGGAUGAUCAUGUUCACUCGCAUGAUCACAUGUCAUGAGUGCUAGGCCAUCGCAUCCCACAUGGCCAUCCCAAUAACAUGUUAAGU